ACAGCAGUAGCCGCGGUAAUACGGAGGGUGCAAGCGUUAUCCGGAUUCACUGGGUUUAAAGGGUGCGUAGGCGGAUCUGUAAGUCAGUGGUGAAAUCUCCAGGCUUAACCUGGAAACUGCCGUUGAUACUAUAGGUCUUGAAUUUUGUGGAGGUUAGCGGAAUAUGUCAUGUAGCGGUGAAAUGCAUAGAUAUGACAUAGAACACCAAUUGCGAAGGCAGCUGGCUACACAACUAUUGACGCUGAGGCACGAAAGCGUGGGGAUCAAACAGGAUUAGAUACCCCCGUAGUCCCUGUCUCUUAUAC
rnacentral:rRNA from 1 species